rnacentral:ncRNA from 2 species
CCAUACGCAACGUCGUUAGGUGCCUGCUUUCGGCAGGAGAAUCGGGAAUGCGGUGCAAGACCGCAACGUGCCCAACGCUGUGAGGCGGAUGCAUGUUGCCAUAAGCCACUGAGCAAUCGGGAAGGCGGCAACGGGCAGACGAAGCCAAGUCAGAAGACCGGCCUGACACGAUAGACCAGU